rnacentral:lncRNA from 1 species
CUCCUGCUCGCUCGUAUCGUUCCAAUUAAAUUCAGAUAUAAUGCAGAUAAAUACUUCAGAUCAUUACAAAUGGGGCCCAGUCAAGGUGAAAGUCAAAAGCAUUGGUGCUACUGUAGAUGCCAACAGACUACCAGCAAACACAAUGUUUGCAGGACUUCUACAACUAGGAUAAAGUGACAUAGUCCAGGACCCGAGGGAGGACAGUUUAGCGAUGGCGCUACAACACGCUACAGCAGGUCCGUUUGACAAGAAACACUUCUGUUACAGACACUUGUCUUACUUUGUUAAAGCGGUUUACCUGUCCAGCAGAAAGGUUACAGGGUCACCAAGAUCCCCAAGCGUCCCCCAUGGUUUAUGUUGACCCGUCUUUUUAGCUCUUGUCCGGUCUACCUCCGUUUUAAGCGCCCGUUAUUCCUCCAGAGUCUCUGGUAUUUACGUCGUUUUCUUGCUUGUGUCGGCAGUCGUGGCCAAAGGAGGAUUCAGACAAUUUUCCGAACUUCCUGGUUGGUUUCUACUGUCCGAUAUUGUAGCACGCUAACUUUGUUUGGGCUCCUGAACGACACGGGGGAGCAGCGUCUGCCUCAUGACCAAUCAGGUCGGGGAGGUGGAGAACCACUCAAAAAUGUUCAAAUGUUGACGACACAGACAUAAGAGAACACAGAGAUAUUGUUAUAUAACCAAAUGUCAUCAAUAACUGAUACCUAUUGACUGAUAUUAAAAGAUUUUUUGUAAAUACACCACAAUAAAGAUGCUUCUUUAACAGAUUCCUGUCGACCCCACCUUUGACUUUUACAUUUUGCAUUUGAAAAUCUAUUAAAAAGCUUCAAUGGGAAUCUAACCUGUAGUCGCUCUGUGUUUCUUCUUCUGGAUAUUUUCGCGGUGAAAAUUCCUAGAAGCAGGUUUUCCUUUUUAUGAUGCAGAGAGACGUCUUGCAUUUGGUGAACCUCAUGUGUUUUUCCUCUGCAGCCCUUACUCCUGAAUGCUUGAUAUCCACCAUCUCUGACAUGCCUGUCGAUGCCUCAGGUGUGAAUCUAUUAUGAUGGGCAAAGACAAAUACGACAAACCUCUGAAAUACUAAAUAAUAACAAUAAUGCAAAAAUAAUUUAAUCUAAUGCCAGAACCAGAUACAUGGGCCUGGAAUGAAAUAAAACAGUAUCUAUAAAACACAUUGAUGUCAAUGAAUAGUUUUUUACGCAUAAAGAGUCACAAAUAUAGACUCGAAAACCUCCUCACAAAGCUGUCGAGUAUCUUUCAGCUCUGCUCUCAUGUGACCCCUGAGCGGCAGCAGCUGGAUAAUAGCCACUGUGCCGAUUUUUCGAACCUCAUUAUGGAUUCAAUGUGCAGAUGAUGUGCAGCUUGUUUCAUUCAUUUUUCACACCCCGGGUUUGAAGUUAUUAUACAUCACAAAGAAAUGUGGCUCUUCACCCGCUGAAUAGUAAGCGACACAAAUACAUUCUCCACGCCGCCACACCUGCAGCUGCCAACAAAUCAUCAUCGGCUCUGCGAAAAGACCCUCCAUCAUCAUUUCUCUGCUUUUGAUAAAGAAAACUGCAGCAGGCGUGUGGUCGUGUUUUUUAAAUGUGCAGCUGAUCAGCAUAUUAAAUAUAUCUGUUAAAGAUAUGAUCAGUAAUCAGACCGAAAUCAGAGCAGCUUUGGUAGGUCAGAGGUCAGAAGACGCUCUCUUUUAAUUAUCUGACAUUUCUCACUUAAACGUUUUGUUUCUUCGUUGUUGUCUCUGGUGAAACUUGUCAGUCUCAAAGGCCCAAAGCUCAUUAGGUAAAGGUUACACACAACAGCAGUACUCAGAGAAAUAACUUGUAUUUUAUAAAGGGACUCCAAAUAGAGAGUGUCUGAAAUCAGCAUCUUCAGACGAUCAGUCAGUCUAAUGAGUUUGUUAAUGUGUCUGCUGACAUUUUCUGUGAUUUUUCAUCAUGAUGGAUGACGCUGAUUUUGUAUGUUUUUGUUAAUCAAGCAAGUAAGCUGAGAUCGCUUUGUACUGUUACCUUUGACAAGACUUUAAAGUCCAUGUUUGGUCACAUCAGGCCUGAACUACAACGAGAAUUCCUUUCAUAGCCGGGUCAGGCUGUACGCUCGACCUCCCCAGACUCUCUUUUAUAAAAGGAAGAGAGGAAAUGAGAGGACAAGCACGACAUAGCCAGGACAGGAAGUCCGUUUGGGCUUUAACUCAUCCCAGCUUAGGUUGUUUAGGUUGUACGCUCUACCUCCCCCACUUCUUCAUUUUUUUGGAAGACGAGGGGGGCGAACAGAAAAAGAGUUUACAGGAAGACUUCAAGAGACAACAGGAAAGAAGUCUGUUUAGGCAAGAGUUCAUUGCAGCUGGGUCAGACUGUACGCUCUACCGCUACCUCAAUUUUUAAGGAUGGAGGAGAGGAGACUUACAAGAGAACAAGUCUCUGUGAGAAGAAAGGGAAGACUUAGCCAUGGCGAGUCUGUUUGUCUGUUUGGACUAGAACAGGACGCUCUACCUUCCCCUGAUUGGGGUUUGCAGGAAGACUUUUGAGAAAGGACAGGGAAGAGCAAAACAAGGGUAGAAGUCUGUUGAAGCAAGAGUUCAUCGCAGCUGGGUCAGACUGUAUGCUCGACAUUCCUCGAUUUUUAGGGAUGGAAGAGAGAAGACCAACAUGAGAUCAAGUCCAGCGAUCCGCAGCAGAACUUAAAGAAGCCUGUGGAAAUUGACACAUGAACUUGAAUGGUUACGAUCAGCUACGAUUGGCGGAUACUGCCUUCUCGAUGUGGUGGAAAUUGAGGGCUAGGGCUCAUUGCAGCUGGGUCAGACUGUACGCUCUACCUUCCUCGAUUUUUAGUGAUGGAAGAUAGGAGACCAACAUGAGAACAAGUCUUCAAGCAGACUUUCAAGAGAGGAAAGGGAAGACAGCCAGGGUCUGUUGUCUGUUUGGUCUAGAACUGUACGCUCUACCUUCUCCUGGUUGGGGUCUAGAGGAAGGGUAAGAAGCCUUUUUAGUCGACAUUUAAGAGAGAAAAAAAGUCCUUGAAUAUUUGCUGCCCAUCAGCUGGGACCCACAAAUAUUUGAUGAGAGUGAUUUAGAUCAAUAAAAACCUGAAUCAACUUCUGCCCCGUUUAGACUUCUUACGCAGAUUUCUUCUGGACUCUUCUUGACUCAAUCAAAAGUACUUCUGUAUUUUAUAAUUGUUUCCCUUUAACAUCGGUCCCUUCAGCUUGUUUGUCUUUAUUUGACAUGUAUUCGUAAUAAACAGGAAACAUUGUCAUACUCAGUGUGCGUCACAUGUGACUUCAAGGAAAGACCGAAGCGUCGGGGCUUCAGUGUCAUUAAAGAAGAGAUGUAAAUGUCACAGCGAUGGUUUUUAUUAAAUAGGGGGUUGUGUGAUGGAUGGUAACCACCUGAUGGAGUGAAUAAUUCAUUCCUGAUUAGUGGUGACCGGCCUGUGGCUUUAGAUCCUCAGGAGACAUUACAGGCACCACAGUGUGUCUGUGACUGGAGAUGGACUUAAUGGGAGAAUUAUCUGAGAAACCAUUUCUGCUUCUGUGCGUGGGUGGAGGAGGAAGGGAGGGACUACUGUGUGUGUGUGUGUGUGUGUGUGUGUGUGUGUGUGUGUGUGUGUGUGUGUGUGUGUGUGUGUUAAUCUUCCUGUUGCCUGUCUGAUCUCUGCUUUGCAUUCAUGCAGCAGCUGUAUCCCUGACAAAAGAGAUUGAAUGCAGAGUAAUUAUGACAUCAAAGAUUCUGCUAAUCCUAUUUUCCCAUUUUCCGAUUAUUUCCAAGUCUAUUUCCUGACAUCUCAAUCUCAGGCACUGAUGUGUGUCUGAAUCUCUGGUGAUAGUGUUGCACAAAUCAAGAAGAAGUGGCUUGUCUAAAGCCAUCACUGUGAUGACAGAGGACUGAUGAGUGUGUUUAUGAAUGAAGAUCCACGUUAAUGACCCGAGCUAUAAUACAAUCUUCUGCCCAGCGGCUGCCCAGAUAUGAACAGAUUAAAUCCAUUACAGGAGGAAUUAUGUGAACCCAAGUACCAUCAUAUCAUGUCUUUUUUCACGAGCAGAAACAAGGAAACACAGCCAGGGUGUGUCCGAAUAAUCCAACCCUGAAUCCAAAUGUGCAAAUAAUGAUAAAGAACAACAUUUCACUAUUUCCUGUAAUGAAACGGGUCUAAAGUUAAGAUAGAAAUGCCUUGACUCAUUAAAAUAUGAAGAUCUUUCAUUGGAAAAAAUGCAAAGUUACGAUAUUUGGUGUCCAAACUAGAUGUAUGUAAAUUUUUAAACCACAAAAUAAACAUAUGUUGUUAUAAUCUGACAAUAUACUGUAGGUGUAAACUGCUUAAAGUGAGGUCUGACUCAUUAAACUAAUGGGCGGUCCUGACUAGUUCAAAGUGGCCAAUCAGAAGACAGGGGGCCUUAAAGAGACGGAAGCUACAACCAAGUUCUUUAGAUGGAAGCUGAAGUAAUGAUGUUUUAACACACCGAAGUGAGAAACAGGAGACUUGAUUUGAUCUAAAAACAAUCGACUUACAAUCAGCCUGAUACACAGAGUGUUUUAUUUUGAAAAGAAGCCGGAUGUUUUAUUUUGUGUCUGUGCCCGACUUCCUUUCCAGCACGGGUUAAUCUGUGCUGAAUUUAUCCGCCAUGCUCCGGCGUCCAGAAAAAAUAGAACUCUUGUGAUCAGCUGAGGAGUCCGGCGAUCCUCAGAGGAACGGAAAGAAGUCGGUGUAAAUUGACACGUUAACUUGAAUGGUUACGAUCAGCUACGAUCGGAGGAUACGACCUUUUAGGAGACCAUCAGGAUGAAGGUGGAAAUUGGAGGUUAAAGUCAGGAGACAACAUCCAUCCAGUCUUGGUUUUAGUCCUGGUCCCUUUUAUCAGAUAUUUCUGAUUGAUCUCUGAUUCUUUCAGUGAUAGUUUGACGACAUGAUGAAACCUGUUAAAUCUCUGACUGUUGAACUGUUUGCUCACGCAGUCUCUCACACAGUGGUUAACCUCUGAAUGUCCUUUUUAUUCCCAGUCAUGAUACUACAGAUGCUGCAGAUUAACCUCAGCGGUUUUGAGAUAUUUGUUUGUUAGUUAGUUAGUUAGUUUGUUUAUUUAUUUAUUUGUUUAUGAGGGUUGUCAGGGAGAUGAUUAAACCUUUAGUUGACGAGUAUCAUGUUAGUAUCGACUGUUUCAUGCCAGUCGUUGAUGUUUUAAUGCUGUUUUUUGCCUGCGGUGUAGGAUGAUAGAGAAACCUUCCUCAGCCCGUUAUCGCUCUGCGGUGCUUUGUUCUGGUUUUAAUAAUCACUGUGCAGCUUUGGCAGAAGUACAGAUGCUGAUUAGGUUCUGUUUGUUCGGCCUGCCCGGUAUUAUCUCUUCAUUUCACUACGUCCCCUGUUAGCUCCGCUGUGACACUGAGUAUGUACAUAAUUAUGAUGUUUGCUUCAUUUUCAUUAAGAGUUUAUUUAAACUAAUAACAUUUGUUUGGUGAGGCAGAGCUGCUUAACAAGUCCUCCAAGAAAGUGAUGACUCCAAAUGUUCUCAUUUAUUCAUGAUUAUUUCAUCUUAAUGACCUUCUCUGUAAUUUCUCUGCUGAUUCAAACUCUGAACUUUAUUCAUAUAGACGAGUAACAACAGGAUAAAUAUUUCCAUCCUUCGUUUUGCUGCAGAGGAGAACAUCUGUUGUUUCCAAGGCUGCUAGAGUCUUAGAUAAACAGCCGCAAAGUCAGAUCCAUCUCUGAAGUUUGUCUCAGAUUUGUGCAUCAGUAAACAUGUGUCUCCUGAGAGGAAUCACCGUUUAUAUCUCAUCCAAAAAAAGCCAUUUAAACCGCAGAUCUAAUUUAAAGUUGAAGGUGUGAAACAGGCGCUGAUAAAUGUACUGGGGAACAGUUUAAUUAAAAGUUUAUGAAAGUUAUGCUGGCAGUCGAGAAGCUCUCAGACUCAAUAAAUCCAGUUUUCUUCUCGGGAACAAACGGCGGAAAUAAAUCACAGCAAAUAACGAAACGCGGCUUUUACUUUAGGGGUAAAUAUUUAGAAGCUGUCGGGGGGAAAAACGAGGAUGAAGUGGAUGAAAAGAUAAUGUGCACCGCUCAAAAGAUGAAACCCUCUUCCUACCCAUCAGUGUCCUCUGGUAUUUGAUGGAUUUUCAGUCACCGUGCUGGCAGUGACCUCUCCAACAGGAGUUAAAUGGUUUCUGUCUCAUAUUUACACUCUCUUGGUCAUAUUUGUUCUCUCCGCCCGGCGGUCCGCGGUCUCCAACCCUCCAUCUCCGCCACCUGUCCGCUCUUAUCUCGGUCUGCCAGUGGGAGUUAGCAUUUCCACCUGGAGUGUGUGCGGCUCGGCUCGUCCUGGACCGCUGCCCCUCUCCCUCCUCUCACAGAGUGUCUGUGUGUUUAAUGAGCCUGGCUCUGAGGCCUGGAGACCCCACAUGCUCCAUCUGUGUCCUGGUCCUGAUAUGUUUUAACGAGACCGUCUCUGUGGGUGAGACUGAAACGACUUCCAGGGUGAAAAUUCAAAACUUUCAUAACUUUAUUUUUGGCUUCCUCUCAUUAUUUCACCUUUUUAAUGCUAAAUCUCCCCCCUCUCCUCAUUUCCUUCUUCUCGACUUUUAUAAUUAAAUCUCUCCUGACUCGUUCCCAACACACUUUGAUUUAUCUGCAGUGAUAAGACGUUUAAUUCUGUCAUUAAAUGCUUUGAAACUCUGACACAAAAAUCACCUGGAGGAACAUCUUUCAGCUAAUUUGCAACUUGGCAUAAAAAAGGCUCCCUGAUUUCAGACUAAUGUUAAAAACGCAAACAAUUUAAGGGUGUAUGAUGAUAUCUUUAAAAGAUUCUGCAAAUCUGGAGAAAAAAAGGAAGAUAUGAAAAAAAAAACGUGCUGGAUUUUGGUGGUCUUUAAAGGGAUAUUCCGUAAGAUUAAGUUAGGGUCAAACUAACCGUAACACCGAGUUAGACUAAACACAACUCACCUACUCUCUUUCAGCAGCCGCUUGUUUGUAGCGAGACCUCAGGACAGUCCAUUACGGACUACAGCGGGGUGCCACAGCUCAAGGAAGAACAUUUAUGAUCAUUUCUUCAUGGAAAUACAAUCAGACCGAGACGCUAAGACAGAAGAACUACCGCGUCUGUAAAAUGAUUAAUAUGAUGAUUAUUACUUCAAGGAAAUGAUAAAGAAAUCUCAUUUCUGUAACUGAGACAUUAAUACCUGACACAGUAUCCUUGGUGAAAGGUAGUUUUAAAACAUUUUUAUCAGUAUUAUGCGAUUUAAAGACAAAAUUAGUCAGUUAACUACAUUUAAUAUAGCGACCGUGACUUAUAGAGCUAAAAUAUGAAAUCAUUAUUUACAAAAACUCAAAUGAAAUGCAAACUGUGCUGAAAUGUGGUGAUCUUUAAGCCUAAAGGCAGCGCUGCAUUAAAAACAGACAUGUCUCUGUAGUGGAAAUUGCCGCAUGGUCUCGAAAUCACUUCCAGAAUCUCUGUUUGUGGCUGCAGGUGAAAAGGAAACCAAACAUAAUCAUGAUCCAAAACGUCUGACACUCGUCUUGGAUGUCGUGGACUCUGCGUCCCCCACAGAGGCAUCAUCUGGCUUCUUGUUACCGACACAAAAGCCAGCAUCUGUGACAGUAUGGGGAUGCAUAAGUGCUUAUAGACUCAGACAUCUGCUCUACAAAGGCGGCAUAAUGAUCCACAUUUCCAUCAGGAGGCUUUACAUGAGCAGAAACAAACGAUCUCUGUGAAGUGCACUUUGAAAAAAUACUAAUUGUUAUUCAGACGCUGAGAUUGUCUCAGUUUACGUCCUCCUGCGUCUGUGGAUUUGUUUUUGUGUGAUGUUGGUCGCAGUGCGAAGUCUUUAGAGUAUGAUCUCUGCAGGUUUUGUUGGAGGAGGAGUCGACAUGUGAUACUAAAUACAUGCAGCUCUUUAAACUCAGAUGGUUUUAAAAGUUUGUGAAUCUUUCAGUCUAGACUUUGUCAUUUUGUUGAAUCGCUUCCUCUCGCCAUCCGUCUCAGUCCCUUUCUCCUCGCUCCCUCCCUCCUUCCUCCUUUCAUCUCUUUGCAUCACUCCCUCUUCCUUCCUCCCGUCCCUCCUGUGACAAACUUCAGUCUCAGCACCUGUCAGCCCUGUCAAACUCUUCCUCCUUCAUCUCCACCUCUCCUCCCUUCCUCCCUCUCUUUGGUCAGCCCUCAGUGCCCACACUUCGCUCCUCUUCCUCUCUAAUAUCACCGCUGCUGCUGCUGCCCCUUAAAAGUAAAGAAACAGAAAAGUCCUGAUUCAGUUAUUUCUGACUGAUUACUCGGUUUAAAAUGAUCGAUGAACUGAUUUCACGGUCGGUGUUUAGAGAGCAGAUCCCUUCUCUUCUUGCUCAUUUUGACUAAAACGUCUCAAUUAAAUUCAUAUAGGAGAGCAGCCAUCUGUACAGCUGGAGGAAUCAGAUCUCAGAGGAACAGACGUGUUUAAAUUACUGAUAUAAUGAAGAAAUUCAUCAACAUUUUCAGGCAUGAAGCCUCCACUUUAAAGCUGGACGAGGCAGGAUCUGAGUUAGUUCCAGUUUUUAGGAGAAAUCUUGAAUGUAAACUCUACCCCUCCCAACCAGUUUUCCCCUCCCUCUCUGCUCCUCUCAAGCCCCGCCCACAAACAGACGCUCCUGCUCGCUCGUAUCGUUCCAAUUAAAUUCAGAUAUAAUGCAGAUAAAUACUUCAGAUCAUUACAAAUGGGGCCCAGUCAAGGUGAAAGUCAAAAGCAUUGGUGCUACUGUAGAUGCCAACAGACUACCAGCAAACACAAUGUUUGCAGGACUUCUACAACUAGGAUAAAGUGACAUAGUCCAGGACCCGAGGGAGGACAGUUUAGCGAUGGCGCUACAACACGCUACAGCAGGUCCGUUUGACAAGAAACACUUCUGUUACAGACACUUGUCUUACUUUGUUAAAGCAGUUUACCUGUCCAGCAGAAAGGUUACAGGGUCACCAAGAUCCCCAAGCGUCCCCCAUCGUUUAUGUUGACCCGGCUUUUUAGCUCUUGUCCGGUCUACCUCCGUUUUAAGCGCCCGUUAUUCCUCCAGAGUCUCCGGUAUUUACUUUGUUUUCUUGCUUGUGUCGGCAGUCGUGGCCAAAGGAGGAUUCAGACAAUUUUCCGAACUUUCUGGUUGGUUUCUACUGUCCGAUAUCGUAGCACGCUAACUUUGUUUGGGCUCCUGAACGACACGGGGGAGCAGCGUCUGCCUCACAACCAAUCAGGUUAGAGGAGGUGGAGAACGGCUUUGUUUACAGUCAGAAAGAGCAGA